UCCUCAAUUUUGAGCCAAAUCAGCUAGGCAUGAAAAAAGAUGUUCUGAUGGUAUAGCUGGCACUCUUGUUUCAGUAGGAGGACCACGCUGGGUAUCUAACUUGAGAGACGUUCAAGUGAAGCAGGUGGAAGUCUGCUUCUGAGAGAGAAAAGAUACAAGGGCUUCCUGAGAGUGAUGGUAAAAGUUACCAGAAGUAAUGGGAGCAGAGAGGGUUUGUAUCAAGGCUCCUGAAUUCACGCAGGAUGAAGCAGAAAUCUACUCCUUGACAAACAUGGAGGACAGCAUUGGAAUCAAAGGAUGUGAGUUCAAGUCUUGGCUCUUCAGAGUCCAUCAGGCUUGCUCUCAAAUUCUUUUGUGCGGUGAAGUCAAGAAUCUGUCCCUGCUCACCAGCAACAAAACCACAGUGAAGUA